rnacentral:rRNA from 1 species
GAUGAACCCUGGCGGCGUGCCUAAUACAUGCAAGUCGAGCGAACAGACGAGGAGCUUGCUCCUCUGACGUUAGCGGCGGACGGGUGAGUAACACGUGGAUAACCUACCUAUAAGACUGGGAUAACUUCGGGAAACCGGAGCUAAUACCGGAUAAUAUAUUGAACCGCAUGGUUCAAUAGUGAAAGACGGUUUUGCUGUCACUUAUAGAUGGAUCCGCGCCGCAUUAGCUAGUUGGUAAGGUAACGGCUUACCAAGGCAACGAUGCGUAGCCGACCUGAGAGGGUGAUCGGCCACACUGGAACUGAGACACGGUCCAGACUCCUACGGGAGGCAGCAGUAGGGAAUCUUCCGCAAUGGGCGAAAGCUUGACGGAGCAACGCCGCGUGAGUGAUGAAGGUCUUCGGAUCGUAAAACUCUGUUAUUAGGGAAGAACAAAUGUGUAAGUAACUAUGCACGUCUUGACGGUACCUAAUCAGAAAGCCACGGCUAACUACGUG